rnacentral:rRNA from 1 species
CCUACGGGUGGCAGCAGUGGGGAAUAUUGGACAAUGGGCGCAAGCCUGACCCAGCAACGCCGCGUGAAGGAAGAAGGCUUUCGGGUUGUAAACUUCUUUUAAGAGGGAAGAGCAGAAGCCGGUACCGCUUGAAUAACCCACGGCUAACGACGUGCCAGCAGCGGCGGUAAUACGUAGGUGGCAAGCGUUUUCCGGAUUUAUUGGGUGUAAAGGGCGUGCAGCCGGGAGGUCAAGUCAGUUGUGAAAUCCCGCGGCUCAACCGCGGAACUGCAUUUGAAACUGUUUUGCUUGAGUACCGGAGAGGUCAGCGGAAUUCCUUGUGUAGCGGUGAAAUGCGUAGAUAUAAGGAAGAACACCAGUGGCGAAGGCGGAUGACUGGACGGCAACUGACGGUGAGGCGCGAAAGCGUGGGGAGCAAACAGGAUUAGAUACCCGUGUAGUC